rnacentral:rRNA from 1 species
UACGAAGGGGGGCGAGCGUUGUUCGGAAUUACUGGGCGUAAAGGGCGCGUAGGCGGCCCCCUUUUGUCGCGUGUGAAAGCCCCGGGCUCAACCCUGGGAGGUGCGCGCGAAACGGGGGGGCUUGAGUUCGGGAGAGGAGCGUGGAAUUCCCAGUGUAGAGGUGAAAUUCGUAGAUAUUGGGAAGAACACCGGUGGCGAAGGCGGCGCUCUGGACCGAGACUGACGCUGAGGCGCGAAAGCGUGGGGAGCAAACAGGG